rnacentral:rRNA from 1 species
AUGUUCUUCUUGAGUGAGGCUGAAAAGAAUCCAGUUGACAUGGAGGAAGCAGGGAAGGGUCUUGAUUGGGUUCAUUCAAAGGAGAAAUACAAGGAAUAUUUGAAGCAACUUCCUGAUAUCAGCUCCAGCAAGAGCAAGGCAGCAUCUGUGGCAAACCCUCAUGUGGUCCAGAAGAGCAAAGGAGUUACAAUGAAGAAGAAUCUGAAGUUGCCUCAAACCAGGCAACAGAUGCCGAGGGCAGAUGCAGAAAUAAAUGUGGACAAGGAAGAUGUGGCGCAAACUGUUGUGCUAACUGUAGUGAUCAGAUAG